GUCAGCGGCCAUAGGAGCGGGGAAACACCCGAACCCAUUCCGAACUCGGAAGUUAAGCUCGCUCACGAUGGUGCCUGUACUGCUUUGCAGCGGGAACGCCCAUUGUUGCUGACC
rnacentral:rRNA from 1 species